AGCCUUGCGGUGUACGACAUGUUGGAUUGCAAAUCCAAAGACGCGGCUUAACCCCCGCCGGGGCUU
rnacentral:tRNA from 1 species